GUGCCAUUCUCAUUAGUUUAUUCAUAUCUUGUUCGUCAUCCUUUGCGUUUGAUCUAAACUGUGAAAUUCAUCCUUACCAAGCAAGGUCAAGUCAACCUCGACGGCUAUGAAGGCAUGGCAUGCACCUCACCUAAGGACAAGGACUGCAUCUUUAUAAAUCAAGUAAGAAGUGCACGGGCUUUUACACCACAAAAUUGGCAUCUCGAGAGGUUCUGGACUUCAUCCGGGGAAGAAAAGUCUCUGAUACACUGCUAAAGAAGUUGGAGACGUCUUGUCUUGCCCUUAACGCAGUGCCCAAUGAUGCAGAGGAAAAAGAAAUCACUAACCCAGCUGUGAAAAAGUGGCUUGAUGAGCUCAAAGAUGAUGUCUAUGAUGCAGAGGACCUUUUGGAUGAGAUUGCUACUAAAGUUUUGCAGUGCCAGUUGGAAGCUAAGAGUAAGUUCUUACAGGUCAUUCAGCACAUGGACAGCUGCUCUUGGAUUUGCUCAAUGAGGUUGCUGCCAUACGAGCUGAGCUUGCUGCCACUAGAGGUGCCUCUCCACCAGCUCCACCGUUGGAUCAGCCAUGAUUGCCCUUUGGCAAUACGUUACAAAAAGGGGGAGUGCAUAGUGAUAGGGGGAGAUAACUUUUUUUUGGUAUGGGGAGUUCUUUUAUGGAGAUGUAUUUUUUUUUUUUGGAUGUAUGUAUUUUAUUUCUUUUAUUUUAGUUCUUGUUUCACAAACUUUGA